rnacentral:rRNA from 1 species
AGAGUUUGAUCCUGGCUCAGAUUGAACGCUGGCGGUAUGCUUAACACAUGCAAGUCGAACGGAAACGAUACUAGCUUGCUAGUAGGCGUCGAGUGGCGGACGGGUGAGUAACGCGUAGGAAUCUGCCUGAUAGUGGGGGAUAGCCCGAAGAAAUUCGGAUUAAUACCGCAUAAUCUAUUCGUAGUAAAGUGGGGGACUUUCGAGCCUCACGCUAUCAGAUGAGCCUGCGUAAGAUUAGCUAGUUGGUAGGGUAAAAGCCUACCAAGGCAACGAUCUUUAGCUGGUCUGAGAGGAUGAUCAGCCACAUCGGGACUGAGACACGGCCCGAACUCCUACGGGAGGCAGCAGUGGGGAAUAUUGGACAAUGGGGGCAACCCUGAUCCAGCAAUACCGCGUGUGUGAAGAAGGCCUGAGGGUUGUAAAGCACUUUCAAUUGUGAAGAAAAGUUAGCGGUUAAUAACCGUUAGCCUUGACGUUAACUUUAGAAGAAGCACCGGCUAACUCCGUGCCAGCAGCCGCGGUAAUACGGAGGGUGCAAGCGUUAAUCGGAAUUACUGGGCGUAAAGCGUGCGUAGGCGGUUUAUUAAGUCAGAUGUGAAAGCCCCGGGCUUAACCUGGGAACUGCAUUUGAAACUGGUCAACUAGAGUAUGGUAGAGGAAAGUGGAAUUUCUGGUGUAGCGGUGAAAUGCGUAGAUAUCAGAAGGAACAUCAAUGGCGAAGGCAGCUUUCUGGACCAAUACUGACGCUGAGGUACGAAAGCGUGGGUAGCAAACAGGAUUAGAUACCCUGGUAGUCCACGCCGUAAACGAUGAUAACUAGCCGUUGGGGGGAUUUACCCUUUAGUGGCGAAGCUAACGCGUUAAGUUAUCCGCCUGGGGAGUACGGCCGCAAGGUUAAAACUCAAAGGAAUUGACGGGGACCCGCACAAGCGGUGGAGCAUGUGGUUUAAUUCGAUGCAACGCGAAGAACCUUACCUGGUCUUGACAUCCUGCGAACUUUCUAGAAAUAGAUUGGUGCCUUCGGGAACGCAGUGACAGGUGCUGCAUGGCUGUCGUCAGCUCGUGUCGUGAGAUGUUGGGUUAAGUCCCGUAACGAGCGCAACCCCUAUCCUUAUUUGCCAGCACAUCAUGGUGGGAACUAUAAGGAGACUGCCGGUGAUAAACCGGAGGAAGGCGGGGACGACGUCAAGUCAUCAUGGCCCUUACGACCAGGGCUACACACGUGCUACAAUGGGAAGGACAAAGAGCCGCGAAGCCGCGAGGUGUAGCUAAUCUCAUAAACCUUUUCGUAGUCCGGAUUGGAGUCUGCAACUCGACUCCAUGAAGUCGGAAUCGCUAGUAAUCG